UACAGAGGAUGCAAGCGUUAUCCGGAAUGAUUGGGCGUAAAGCGUCUGUAGGUGGCUUUUUAAGUCCGCCGUCAAAUCCCAGGGCUCAACUCUGGACAGGCGGUGGAAACUACCAAGCUGGAGUACGGUAGGGGCAGAGGGAAUUUCCGGUGGAGCGGUGAAAUGCGUAGAGAUCGGUAGGAACACCCGUGGCGAAGGCGGUCUCCUGGGGCACUCUUGACGCUGAGGCGCGAAAGCUGGGGGAGCGAACGGG
rnacentral:rRNA from 1 species